GUAGGACUGUGCACUGGAAGAGUCGUCCUCCUGAUGUUUGAUAUGACCAGAACUCCAUGAUGCUAAGAGAUCAGUCCUGUCCUUUCCUUGGUGCAGUUACAUGACCACUUUAAGCUCUCAGGCAUGUGAGGAGGGAGAAGAAAAACAAGAUGUGCAAGGAUGUAAGUGAGGCUAUAACUAUGAACACCUAGUCAAUGCCAUCAAACAGCUGUCAGAGGAGAUGCCACCAUCUUCCUUGUUGUUGAAAGGCAACCCAAGGGCCCCUGAAGACACAAUGUCUGGGACAUGUAGGUGAAAAUUCUUCAAUCUCUUCCUCAAAUCUCAGUCAUCUGGAUGUUUGCCUACAGAGAACACAACAGCAAUAAAUUGUAUUAAAUAUAAAUGAAUACAGUAGAAAUUCUUCCAUGGGUAUUCUAGAUACAUCACUGUUAUUGCCCAUCUCAGAAGGCCCAUUGGGUGAUGACUUGCCAUCUUCUCUUUUAUUGUCCAGUUCAUGAGUUAAUCCUUCUGGCUGCUGUAUGAAGCUGUGGGCAAUUAAUAAUAAUUCAUCACUGUUUGCUGAAAGCAUAUUGUGUUGUGUGAAAGAGAUGUAAUCUCAAAAUAUAUGAGGUGAAGCAAGGAGUGGAAUUUCAGUGUUAUUGCACUAGGGUUUUAUUAAUAGGUUAGUGAUUGUAGAAAUAACAACAACAAAAUCUAUGUGUAUAAUUUGAAGGCAAACUCUCCCCUCUACUAAUCCAGCCUUUCAGACCUGCUGUAAACAAUUGCAUUUCAAGGGAAAGUUGCUGAGAAAAACAAAGUCCAUUUUUAAAAAAUAAACAUGAUAGAAAUGUCUGUCUAAAAACUCUAAGCCCUGAGUUGUUAAGGGAAGAUAAUUUUAUUAAUUAGAUGAUCAAUUAUUACAAUAUUAGGAUACCAUUUCUUGGGCUGGUUUGGUGCAGCUUGUGUUUGUUUGGGAUACUUUUAUUAUCCAGUUUGGCCAUCAAUAAUGAAAUUGUUCCAGUGAGUUAUUUAAUGUAAUUGCUAUAAUUCUCUAAUCUGAAUAUUUACAUCAAACAUUGUGGGCUAAUCACAGAUACAUUCACCGUAUUUUAUCUAUGUUGAUUUUCAAUAUCUAUACCGAUUGUGUUCAGAAAUAAACUGCCAUGCUUGAGCUGU